GGGACAUUAUCUUCAUGUGUGAUCCACCCAUUGCAUGGGUAAAGUAUAAAGCGGAGUGUGGCCAAUAAAGUUGUUGUUGUACCCCUGGAACUGUGUGUUGUCCAGUUACUGGGGGGAGAUGGGUCUCUUCAUCCAUUAAUAGCGGAGGUAACCAGCCGGGUUACCCAGGGUCCGCUACAGUGACUAUAAUAGUCUCUUUAAG